CAUAAUGCCUCUUUCCAAUUGCCUGAUAACCUGAAUGACUGUAUCCUUACCAGCUCUCUCGGAUCUGGUGAUCCGGUAAUGGUGUUGAACCCCUUCGGGAUGUCCGAUAUUCCUCAAAAUGGUAAUCGCUCCCCCAUCAACCCUUCCACUGAUCUGUUAUCUGCUCCACUGUGAGAAUUGAAUCCCUUAGCAAGGAUAUUUCCUCCCCGUACACCUUUACCUCUUAUGACUUCUCGACAGUUGGAUUUCACCGUGCCAAAACUGUGAAUAUUUACUAUUACUAUUUUAAUACCUCGGAGCCUCCAUUAUCUGAUUCUAACACCACUGGCAUCUCUACAUCUGCGGACACCCCUAGACCUCAUAAGCGUCUACGCCCGGUGACUGAAGAAAGCACUUCUAUGGAGAACCUCUGUAAUCUCAUCUCUAAUGCUGUCCACAACUCUGAGAACACCCAAGCCACUUUGAGAACCCUUUGGGAGCACUUUAAGGAGAAGGAGGCUUUUUCUAUUAACAAGGCUCCAUUGAAUGACCCACACACUGGCGAAGGGAUCCCUGACGGUGACUCGCGCCAUGGGAGAGAGAGGACAAGUCCAUCGCAGAACUGGUGGUUUUAUAGGUUACCUGCUUGGAGAUCAAGAGCCGGGCCCCACUGUGGAGUUUCUCUCUAAUGACUGGUGGGUCCUUGAUAAGUUUGAGUACGGUGCUGAUUGCAUGUGCGAGGAUUAUGCUGCAUUACAACAGUGACUCCUGAGUGAUUCUUUUUUAUUAUUUUGAUGUACUCCCUUUUGAUGACUUGAUACUUAAAUAAGGCCUAAAUGUAUAUAACUUUUAUAACUCAAUUGGGUAUCAAAUAUUUAGGAAACAAAUAUUUAUUAU